rnacentral:rRNA from 1 species
AGUGAACGCUGGCGGUAGGCCUAACACAUGCAAGUCGAACGGCAGCACAGUAAGAGCUUGCUCUUAUGGGUGGCGAGUGGCGGACGGGUGAGGAAUACAUCGGAAUCUACUUUUUCGUGGGGGAUAACGUAGGGAAACUUACGCUAAUACCGCAUACGACCUACGGGUGAAAGCAGGGGACCUUCGGGCCUUGCGCGAUUGAAUGAGCCGAUGUCGGAUUAGCUAGUUGGCGGGGUAAAGGCCAACCAAGGCGACGAUCCGUAGCUGGCCUAUGGGGAUGGUCAGCCACACGGGAACUGAGGCACGGGCCAGAGUCGAACGGGAGGCAGCAGUGGGGAAUAUUGGACAAUGGGCGGAAGCCUGAUCCGGCCAUACCGCGUGGGUGAAGAAGGCCUUCGGGUUGUAGAGCCCUUUUGUUGGGAAAGAAAUCCAGCCGGCUAAUACCUGGUUGGGAUGACGGUACCCAAAGAAUAAGCACCGGCUAACUUCGUGCCAGCCGCCGCAGUAACAC